UACGGGGGGGGCAAGCGUUGUUCGGAAUUACUGGGCGUAAAGGGCUUGUAGGUGGCCAACUAAGUCAGACGUGAAAUCCCACGGCUUAACCGAGGAACUGCGUCUGAUACUGGAUGGCUUGAGUGUGGGAGAGGGAUGCGGAAUUCCAGGUGUAGCGGUGAAAUGCGUAGAUAUCUGGAGGAACACCGGUGGCGAAGGCGGCAUCCUGGACCAAUACUGACGCUCAUGUGCGAAAGCGUGGGGAGCAAACAGG
rnacentral:rRNA from 1 species